CCGAGGGAGUCUCAGGCAUUCCAAAGUGAGGAAGUGGAUUCAGAUGUAGUAUCUGUGAGAAAGUACUGACAUGUAAAGGUGGAUAUACUGUUCAUCAGCAGAUGACUUGAAGUCAAAAGAAACGGAGACCAUUCAGUCAUUUCUACAGAUUUCCAAGCACGAAUGCUCUUAUGUUCAGCUGAGAAAAAAAUGAUGAACAAGCAGAAAAUACAGCAGCAAAGGACAAGGAAGAGAUGGCACACAUUUUAAGAAUGAAAUUAACUUAAUAAAUAUUCAGAUCAUUUCUAAGGGAUGUUACAUUUGGGAAUUCACUUUUCCAGUAUAGUACAGAUACUAGUACUUUGCUGGUAGAGGGUGGAGUGAAUCCCUUGUGUGAUUUGAACCAACCCUCUAAAGGUGAAACACCUUAUCACAGAACAACAUUGUUAGCAAUUUAACCUGACAAAUGUUAGUCAAGGUCUCGAUCAGAGAAGUGUAAAUGCCACAAUUACAAUUUUUUGCAAAGUUAUGCAAAUAAGAAUGUCAAAACUAUUUGGUUUAAUAAAUAGUAAUUAUUAAACUUA